GAGGAAGCCCAACUUCCUUGCAUUCCUCCACCAUGGCUAACAUUCCUCUCCUCCUCGUCCUCCUUUUCGCUUUUUGCAGUGGUAAUGUAGUGAAUUUGUUGUUUGUGUUUUGAAAUGUUCCACCUCUUUUUUCCUCCUCCUAGAAAUAUACUUUGAGAAGAGGACUUCCUCUAUUACCUUGCUCUCUGUUGGGUUUUCUUCCCUUUUCUCGUGGCUUGGAUGGAACAAAUGUUUCUCUCUAUUUUCUCUGCUUUCUUUCAGGGGUCUUUAGCCAGUUUGUAUUGACUCAGACACCUUCGCUGUCAGUACCCCCUGGAGAAACGGCCACGAUCCCCUGUACCAGGAGCACUGGGAAAAUUGCAGACUACUAUGUAUCCUGGUACCAGCAAAAGCCAGGCAGUGCCCCCAAACUGAUUAUAUAUCAGCACAGCACCAGACCCUCUGGAAUCCCAGACAGAUUCUCUGGUUCCUAUGACACCUCAGCCAACUCUGCCACCUUAACUGUCUCCAACCUUCAAGCAGAAGAUGAGGCUGUUUAUUACUGUUUAUCGUAUGACAGCAGCAGCAAGUGC